AAAAAAACAAAACAAAAGAGCAGAAAACUCACAAUAUUAUUGAACAAAUAACAAAAAGGGUAAUUCAAGCAUUAAAAAAGUAAUUAAAACGAUGAACAGUCUUGCCGGAUACCCCAGAAUGUCAUUUGCAGUACAAGUACAUGGAGGUAGGUACCAAACAGACAGCCGGUGUCGUCUGUCCCAUGAUAAUGGGAAUUUGGAUGAUAAUUUUGCAAUGUAAUUCAUUUUUGAUGUUUUCAGUCUGCAUCACCCUGAAGCGAGAGUUGAAUGACACGCAAUUGAGUUACCCAGAGAAACGACAAAGGCCAACAAUGCCGACCAUUAUGUGAGAGGAUGAACAGACGCACAUUGAUUACAGAGAAUGUGAGUAAAUCAGCGGUACGCAUUAAAAUGCUUAUUGGUUGCUUCUUUUACAACAGAGCACGUCAGCCGAUGGGCUCUAAAUCCGCAAAGAUGCCGCCGCCGAACGGCCUCUUCGAGAAUUCGUUGGUACUGCUGAAGCUGAACCUUUAUGCCAGGGCGACUCGGAACUAGCAAAGAUCCUGAGGUAGCGGAUAUGGAUGCGUCAACUGCUGGAGCUGGAUGAUCUGGUCUUGAACUAUGGCACUCAUUUAUUUCAUGGCGAAUUAACUCUGCCAACUACCCGGGAGUUCCUAUAACUACCUAGUUACGUACCUACGCAAGGUAUUUGGGAAGGUGCAUGUCCCAGCCCUACAGGUCCUUGACGUCAACGAGGUGCUGCAUGCCAUCGAGGGCUGAUCGCAUGUUGAGCUAUACAGCGAGCUUUAUAGUGUCCAGGCAGGCACUGAGAAGGUAAGUCGUUGAUUCUGCCAUCAGCUAUCUUUUUACAUAUUCCCGUUUUGUGUUUUUUUAGAAGGAGAAUGAGGAUCGUAGCCGAUAAACAGAUGGCCGAUGGGGAGCAAUUGGCCAACCAUGUGGUCUAGCUGGAGAGUGAAUGCCCCGUCAAUGCAACGUUCUUUCCGCAGAAGAUCGAACUAGGCAAUCGACUCUUUUUUGUGCUGCGAUCAGGAGUUCAAGAUCUCCAUGGAAGUGGCCGAUUUUCAUGUCGGUCUAGGUUAAGAUUACCAUAACACAUAACUGCCAAUAUUGUAAACAAAUAGAUUGAAAUAAGUUUGGUAU
rnacentral:lncRNA from 1 species